GAUGAACGCUGGCGGCGUGCCUAAUACAUGCAAGUCGAGCGAACGGACGAGAAGCUUGCUUCUCUGAUGUUAGCGGCGGACGGGUGAGCAACACGUGGAUAACCUACCUAUAAGACUGGGAUAACUUCGGGAAACCGGAGCUAAUACCGGAUAAUAUUUUGAACCGCAUGGUUCAAAAGUGAAAGACGGUCUUGCUGUCACUUAUAGAUGGAUCCGCGCUGCAUUAGCUAGUUGGUAAGGUAACGGCUUACCAAGGCAACGAUGCAUAGCCGACCUGAGAGGGUGAUCGGCCACACUGGAACUGAGACACGGUCCAGACUCCUACGGGAGGCAGCAGUAGGGAACCUUCCGCAAUGGGCGAAAGCCUGACGGAGCAACGCCGCGUGAGUGAUGAAGGUCUUCGGAUCGUAAAACUCUGUUAUUAGGGAAGAACAUAUGUGUAAGUAACUGUGCACAUCUUGACGGUACCUAAUCAGAAAGCCACGGCUAACUACGUG
rnacentral:rRNA from 1 species